rnacentral:rRNA from 1 species
GAUGAACGCUGGCGGCGUGCCUAAUACAUGCAAGUCGAGCGAACGGACGAGAAGCUUGCUUUUCUGAUGUUAGCGGCGGACGGGUGAGUAACACGUGGAUAACCUACCUAUAAGACUGGGAUAACUUCGGGAACCCGGAGCUAAUACCGGAUAAUAUUUUGAACCGCAUGGUUCAAAAGUGAAAGACGGUCUUGCUGUCACUUAUAGAUGGAUCCGCGCUGCAUUAGCUAGUUGGUAAGGUAACGGCUUACCAAGGCAACGAUGGAUAGCCGACCUGAGAGGGUGAUCGGCCACACUGGAACUGAGACACGGUCCAGACUCCUACGGGAGGCAGCAGUAGGGAAUCUUCCGCAAUGGGCGAAAGCCUGACGGAGCAACGCCGCGUGAGUGAUGAAGGUCUUCGGAUCGUAAAACUCUGUUAUUAGGGAAGAACAUAUGUGUAAGUAACUGUGCACAUCUUGACGGUACCUAAUCAGAAAGCCACGGCUAACUACGUG